UACGUAGGGUGCGAGCGUUAAUCGGAAUUACUGGGCGUAAAGGGUGCGUAGGCGGCUAUGUAAGUCAGGAGUGAAAGUUUGCGGCUCAACCGUAAAAUUGCUUUUGAUACUGCAUGGCUGGAAUUAGGAUGAGGUCAGCGGAAUGUGGCAUGUAGCGGUGAAAUGCAUAGAUAUGCCAUAGAACACCAAUUGCGAAGGCAGCUGGCUAGACCUGGAUUGACGCUGAGGCACGAAAGCGUGGGGAGCGAACAGG
rnacentral:rRNA from 1 species